UACGAAGGGGGCUAGCGUUGCUCGGAAUGACUGGGCGUAAAGGGCGCGUAGGCGGCGGACACAGUCAGAUGUGAAAUUCCCGGGCUCAACCUGGGGGCUGCAUUUGAUACGUGUUUGCUUGAGUGGGGAAGAGGGUCGUGGAAUUCCCAGUGUAGAGGUGAAAUUCGUAGAUAUUGGGAAGGAACACCGGUGGCGAAGGCGGCGACCUGGUCCUUGACUGACGCUGAGGCGCGAAAGCGUGGGGAGCAAACAGG
rnacentral:rRNA from 1 species